rnacentral:rRNA from 1 species
CUCUAUGGCCAUACCACCCUGAACACUUCUGAUCUCAUCUGAUCUCGGAAUCUAAGUAGGGUAGGGCCUGGUUAGUACUUGGAUUGGAGAAGUGAAUUUAUAGAGG